rnacentral:rRNA from 1 species
AGUGAACGCUGGCGGUAGGCCUAACACAUGCAAGUCGAACGGCAGCACAGUAAGAGCUUGCUCUUACGGGUGGCGAGUGGCGGACGGGUGAGGAAUACAUCGGAAUCUACUUUUUCGUGGGGGAUAACGUAGGGAAACUUACGCUAAUACCGCAUACGACCUACGGGUGAAGGCAGGGGAUCUUCGGACCUUGCGCGAUUGAAUGAGCCGAUGUCAGAUUAGCUAGUUGGCGGGGUAAAGGCCCACCAAGGCGACGAUCCGUAGCUGGUCUGAGAGGAUGAUCAGCCACACUGGAACUGAGACACGGUCCAGACUCCUACGGGAGGCAGCAGUGGGGAAUAUUGGACAAUGGGCGCAAGCCUGAUCCAGCCAUACCGCGUGGGUGAAGAAGGCCUUCGGGUUGUAAAGCCCUUUUGUUGGGAAAGAAAAGCAGCAGGUUAAUACCCCGCUGUUCUGACGGUACCCAAAGAAUAAGCACCGGCUAACUUCGUG